rnacentral:rRNA from 1 species
AGAGUUUGAUCCUGGCUCAGAAUGAACGCUAUUAGUAUGCUUUACACAUGCGAGUUUUACAUUAUUUCAAUAAAUAAUGUAGCGAACGGGUGAGUAAUGCGUAGAAAAUUUACCUUCAAAUAAAGUAUAAAAUAAUUCAAUAUAUUUUAAAAAUAUAUUGUUAAAAGAUAAUUUUGUUAAUACUAAUAAAUAUUUUAAAAAUGUUGAUUGAAGAUAUAUCUGCGCAAGAUUAGGUAGUUGGUAAUAUUUAAAGAUUACCAAGCCUUUGAUCUUUAGUUGAUUUGAGAGAAUGAUCAACCACACUGGAACUGAGAUAAGGUCCAGGCUAAAAUUUUUGGCCAGCAGUGAGGAAUAUUGGACAAUGAACGAAAGUUUGAUCCAGCAAUACUAAGUAAAUGAUGACGGCUUAUUGUUGUAAAAUUUUUUCAGUAAUUUUGAUAAUGACAUUAUUUAAAGAAGAAGUCCCGGCUAAUCUCGUGCCAGCAGCCGCGGUAAUACGGGAGGGGCAAGCGUUAUUCAGAAUAAUUGGGCGUAAAGAGUUCGUAGACUGUAUUGUAAGUUAUUUGUUAAAUUUUAAAGUUUAUUUUUAAAUCAGCAUAUAAUACUGCUUUACUAGAGUUUUAGUUAGAAAAAUAGAAUUCCAUGUGAAGAAGUAAUAUUCGUAGAUAUAUGGAGGAAUAUCGUAAGUGAAAACGAUUUUUUAUUAAAAACUGACGUUGAGGAACGAAAGUAUAGGUAGCAAACAGGAUUAGAGACCCUGGUAGUCUGUACUGUAAACGAUGAGUGCUAAAAUUUAAAAAUUUAGAUUUAAAGUUAACACGUUAAGCACUCCGCCUGAGGAGUAUAAUCGCAAGGUUGGAACUCAAAGGAAUUGACGGGGGCCUACUAUAAGUGGUGGAGCAUGUGGUUUAAUGCGAUAAUCCGCGCAAAACCUUACCAGCUCUUGACAUAUAAAAUAAUAAACUUUUUUUUAAUUUAAAAAUUAUUUAUCUUUAUUUUAUACAGGUGUUGCACGACUGUCGUCAGUUCGUGUCGUGAGAUUUUUGGUUAAUUCCUUUAACGAACGUAACUCUUAUUUUUUCUAGUAAAUUUAAUAAUUCAUUUUAUUAAAUUUCAGUAAAAAUACGGUCAACGAUAAGUUGAAGGAGGGUAAGAAUCAAGUCAAGUCACUGUGGCCUUUAUGAGCUGGGCUACACACGUGCUACAAUGGAAAUUACAAUAUGUAACAAUAAAAUUAAUUAAAGUUAUACAUUUAAAAAUUUUCUUAGUUCGGAUUAUAAACUGUAACUCGUUUAUAUGAAGUUGGAAUCACUAGUAAUCACAAAUCAGAAUGUUGUGGUGAAUAUAUGUCUUGGCCUUGUACACACCGCCCGUCACAUGCAGGAAGUUAAUUUUACUUGAAAUUUUAUCAUUUAAUUUAUUGAUUAGUAAUUUAUUAUGAUUAGAUCAUUGAGAGAUUAAUAACUUGGAUGAAGUCGUAACAAGGUA